rnacentral:lncRNA from 1 species
AAUGAAUGAAAUCCUUUACAAAGUACCCAGAAGUUGAGCUGCCGUCUCCGUAAGUAACCUGAUAUUCACAGGGUGCUCCCACUCUGCAAUCUGAGUAGGGAGCAUUAAACAUAUCAGUGCAAAAGUCUUGGUCGCAACUAACAGUUUUCCCAGAUGCUGAGGCUUUCAAAUCAUACAGCGUCAAGUCUAUCUGUGGUAUAACAACAUAGAUGAGAGGUUUUUCCAGAUGCUGAGGCUUUCAAAUCAUACAGCGUCAAGUCUAUCUGUGGUAUAACAACAUAGAUGAGAAACUACUUGGAUGGAUCAAGAAGAGAAACACAAUAAAUUGAAUAUCUAUUCUCUUUGAGUAGGGGGGGAAGGCACGAGAUCAUGUAAAUUAGAAGAAUGAUCAUACCCCAAGACUGCUUUUUGAAGGACAUCUCCUACAGCCAGCACAAUUCACCCAUAAGAUGUCACUUCCAGUAUCUACCUGAACAUGAUAGUCUUUUGGAGGAGUUCCGAUUGUAAGCUUAGUGUAAUAGAGCCUGCAUAAUAUAUUUAUGACAAAAACAUGACCACAAUUGCACCAGAAAGAACGUGCAUACAUGUAUUAUCCAAUGCUUCCCACCCUCCACCGCAAUUGUCUUAACUGAUUUCCUGCAUAUGAGCAGCACUAUUUGUUUUCUAUUGGUUAGACGAGGGGCACAAUUUUAUAUAAUAAGACCUACUUUUGUUAUAAUAGAACUCGCUGAGCAAAACACAGAAGCCAUUACAGCAAUAAAGAUCAAGUCACAAAGCUUCGUGCUUUCUUAAAAUACUAACACUAUAUGCCCAUCUUUAAAGAAAAAUAACAGAUACAAGAAGCAUGCUAGUAUCAACUGGAGCAAUCAAACCUUUCCUGUAGCAAAACAUUAGAUAUUUCUUCUUAGCGAAACAAAUGCUUAAACUAGCUAUAUCUCAAUAGCUAUAUAACAGAAGAUAUUCAAAGGAACUAAUUCAUAUAUCUCGAAAUACAAUUUAGAAUCAGAAAGAAUAAUCCAAUAUGUUGCUCCAUAGGAACAUAACAUUCCUUCAUCUAACAUUCCUCCAUCUCGCUGAAGUAUAUCCCCAAAGCAGAAACAUUAACAAGUAAAAAGCUAACAACUCCAUUCAUUUUCCCUCUUCAAGGAAAUAAGCAGACACAAAAUUAACCACUAAGACAAAAUCUCAUUCCCAAAAGGAAAACUAACACCUGCUCCUCAUUCAAAAAAAAAAUUAAACUCAGCAUAUAAAGCAGAUAAAUUUUAUCUAAACACACAAGUCAACCCAUUUCAUUCACUUAUACAUGCACUUCAAUCAAUCUUUGUAGCAAUAAUUAUGAAACAAAAAAAUAACAAUAUCCCAGUUACAAUGCACAGGUAACAAUCUUUUUCCAUAAUGUAAGACAGAACAGCAUUAAAAACAAGUAGAAUUAAACAAGAAGAAAGAGAGGGAACUAACGCAGCAUCAGUGGGUUGGCCAUUGCCACCCAAUUGAAAGUCAACGGCGGCAAGCAUUCUGCCAUGGCGGCGACUAUCAUGUGCUUUGAGUUCAUUCAAGACUGAACCUCCACGCCCACCAUAUUUACGCUUCACAUUAAACACUACAUUAUCAUCUCCCUUUACUAUAUUCACCACCAAAAUCAAAACCAAAAGCAAUAUCAAACACCCUUUUCUCCUCAGAUCCAUUUUCAAGAAUUGUCAGAACAUUAAAAUACAACACACCCACUUCCCAAAAUCCAAUCUUUAUCCGUCUAUAUAUACCAACAACAAAAAAGAUAAUUGUAUUAUGUAUAUGUAAUAUGAUACACACAGAUGUGAUGUAUGUAUGUGUGUAUGUAUAUAUGUGUAUAUGUAUGGAUCUUGAGGUGAAGGGGAAAAGAAAGGAAUUAUUUUCCUUUAUAUUAAUGGAUUCAAUACAAAGUGUACAAUACACAGAAGAAGAGUCGGUUGUGAAAGACCCAAAGGGAAGAAAACAGGAAGAUUGAGAAAGAGACAGAGGAGAGAGAGAGAGAGAGAGAGAGAGAAGUAAACGGGAGGAAAUUUUUGGGUGAGGAGGAAAUUUUUGGGUGAGGACUCUUUAUUAGUUUUAGUAUAUUUGUGUUAGAAUUUUCUUGGAAAUUUUCCAAAGGGUAAAGAGUAUAUACACUCUAAUAUUAUGUGUGUAUGCAUAGUUUCUUGGAAAUUUUCUAAGGGGUAAUACUAUAAGAUAGAGCAAAUACAUAUAUUAUACGCAUGCAUAGGUGUUUCUUGAGGAAGGUGGGGUUGGGGUGGGGUUCUGAAUAAGAGAAAAGAGGAAGGCUUUAUCAUGUACGUAUCAGAGUAUGAUGCAAUGGUGUAGCUCACGUUUGUCUGCACAUAACAUUCUCUUUUUCGUGCUGAACUGAAAUUUCUGCUUCAUUCUGCUACUACACCUUCUAUUUAUUGAAGUUUCUGCUUUACUUCUUAAUACUAUAAGAUAGAGCAAAUACAUAUAUUAUACGCAUGCAUAGGUGUUUCUUGAGGAAGGUGGGGUUGGGGUGGGGUUCUGAAUAAGAGAAAAGAGGAAGGCUUUAUCAUGUACGUAUCAGAGUAUGAUGCAAUGGUGUAGCUCACGUUUGUCUGCACAUAACAUUCUCUUUUUCGUGCUGAACUGAAAUUUCUGCUUCAUUCUGCUACUACACCUUCUAUUUAUUGCAGUUUCUGCUUUACUUUUUGC